UCAAGGUAGUCAGUUAUUAUACGUGAAGGUCAAGGUAGUCAGUUUUAUACAUGAAGGUCAAGGUAGUCAGUUAUUAUACAUGAAGGUCAGGUAGUCAGUUAUUAUACAUGAAGGUCAAGGUUUCUAUUAUUAUACAUGAAGGUCAAGGUUUCUAUUAUUAUACAUGAAGGUCAAGGUAGUCAGUUAUUGUACAUGAAGGUCAAGGUUUCUAUUAUUAUACAUGAAGGUCAGGUAGUCAGUUAUUGUACAUGAAGGUCAAGGUAGCCAGUUAUUAUACGUGAAGGUCAAGGUAGUCAGUUAUUGUACAUGAAGGUCAAGGUAGUCAGUUAUUGUACAUGAAGGUCAAGGUAGUCAGUUAUUAUACGUGAAGGUCAAGGUAGUCAGUUAUUAUACGUGAAGGUCAAGGUAGUCAGUUAUUA
rnacentral:lncRNA from 1 species